rnacentral:rRNA from 1 species
CACUGCCGAGAAAAGCCUCUAGAUAGAAAAUAGGUGCCCGUACCGCAAACCGACACAGGUAGUCAAGAUGAGAAUUCUAAGGUGAGCGAGCGAACUCUCGUUAAGGAACUCGGCAAAAUGACCCCGUAACUUCGGGAGAAGGGGUGCUCUUUAGGGUUAACGCCCAGAAGAGCCGCAGUGAAUAGGCCCAAGCGACUGUUUAUCAAAAACACAGGUCUCUGCUAAACCGUAAGGUGAUGUAUAGGGGCUGACGCCUGCCCGGUGCUGGAAGGUUAAGAGGAGUGGUUAGCUUCUGCGAAGCUACGAAUCGAAGCCCCAGUAAACGGCGGCCGUAACUAUAACGGUCCUAAGGUAGCGAAAUUCCUUGUCGGGUAAGUUCCGACCCGCACGAAAGGCGUAACGAUUUGGGCACUGUCUCAACGAGAGACUCGGUGAAAUCAUAGUACCUGUGAAGAUGCAGGUUACCCGCGACAGGACGGAAAGACCCCGUGGAGCUUUACUGUAGCCUGAUAUUGAAAUUCGGCACAGCUUGUACAGGAUAGGUAGGAGCCUUUGAAACGUGAGCGCUAGCUUACGUGGAGGCGCUGGUGGGAUACUACCCUAGCUGUGUUGGCUUUCUAACCC